AAGGUAGCCCGGGGCUCGAGUCUCGAGUCGAGCGGAAGGGUGUUGUUUAGUUUUCAACAAAAGAAGUGGUGCCCACUGUGUCAUUCCAAGCAAAAUAGACAAUGCUAAGCUACAAUCAUAAAGUACAGUCACUGUCUCUUUCAGUGGGGAAUGAGGAGGUGGUGUAUGGAACCUGAAGAACUUUCUGGAGGUGGAGGACCUAGAGAAGCCUUUCAGAGUGGAGGACUUCAUUUAUAUCUCAGUGGAGAGAGUGUCCACAAGUGUAUACCCAAGUCAAGUUUUAUUGGACUGAACACUAAACAUUAUAUUUUCUUAAAUAUAAAUUCUACAACCCUGGAGAUAUACCUAUGUAGUAAGGCAGGUACUUAUGUUCUUCAGGACUUGGGUCCAAUCUGCAGCAUUCCAAAUAUUACUCCUUAAGAAACAAUGUUUUAUUGCUCUAUAACAGUUGACAUUACCUAUUUUCCACAUCUCCCCCCAUUUCUCCAUCACAGGGUCCUCUGAAAGGAAAUAAACUGAGAAGAUGGGGAGUUGAAAUGAGAUUUCUUUAAGCCCUACCCAGUGCAGAUCUGAAUUUCUUGAGCUUUGUUGUGGCAGUUUUCUAGGGUGCCAUGAGAAAAUCAGGGACUGUGCGUGCUAUGUUACCCACUUCUUUAAAACCAUCCCCAGAACAAAUGGCCAUUUUAUUUUAGAAUGUAGAGCGGUGGAAUAUAAAACAAAUGGCCUGGUUUAGUGAAGUUGCUUUUUAGCCAAUGUGAGAGAUUCUGCAUUAUCUGAGACAGUAAGAGAGCUAAGAUGAAGAUUUGUAUGAAGCAAAAAUAACUCCAAACUGAAUGAUGAAAUAAAACUCAAACUUCCUGCUACAGCAGCUUAUGACAGAGCUAGCAAUAGCAAUAACUACCUUAUCCCUUUGGGGUCCUAAUCUUUACCCACCCUUUGGCAAAGGGCCAUAAUAGAGGCAGAGAGAAUGUGAGAAAAAAAAAUAGAGAACAUUUUCCAGGUUUAAGGCAGCUUAAAAAUACUAAGCAACUCUAAACCGUGUCAAUGCAUGUCCCAGAAACAUAACUUCAUUUGCUCUUUUGCUUAUUAUAAUCUGAUUAUACACAUGCAUACAAUGCCUUAUAGCUAAAAGCAUUAAAAUAAAAUAAAGAGAACUACUGACUUGUCAUCAACCAAAGCUGUCUCAGUCUUUGCUAUUCGCUGGUUUAGCAAAUGUAUUUCUGUUGCCCUAACCCUUAAAACCCAAGAUGGAAUGUUUGCUAAGGCUGACUGCUAGAAUACUAGAAUGGAACGAGCUGUGUGAGUGAAUCCAAGAGAAAGUGGUCAGGUCAGUGUAUUCGUGAAAUCUAUGAGACACUGCGGUUCUCUUAGAAGCACAAGCCACACAAGUAACAGGUUUUCCUCUCGGAAGCCAUUACUACUGUUGAUUAAUCCAUUUGGCUGUUUGCUUCUAAGAGAUGUGAAGAGGAAAUAAAGCAGACUGCAAAGUUAAUCCUAAGGGGAUCAGACAAAAAGAUGCUGUGGUGAUAACAGGCAUGAGUAUUCUACAUCUAAAUUAGGAAGGUAACAUGUUGUGGUGAAAGACCUCAUCACUGCUCUCUCCUGUGUGGCUCUGAGCUGUCCGUGAUAGGCUGCAGCAGCCAUUAUUAAUAUCUUCUGCACUCCUCAGUUAAAAGUCAGCUCGGGAAGAAUGGUGACCUCUUUCCCAGCCAGCACCCACUGACUCCUUCUUCUGCUUCUUCCUCCUCUGUCGUCAACAGAACAGCUGUCGGCCAGGUGUCUGUGAAGAUGCUGGGUAUCACAUAACAUGUCACCAGAGCUACUUCUGGGCUUAAAGGGCAAUCAAUAAUGUGUUUUUAAUAAAUAAGUUAUAUAAAAGAAUGAAGCUCUUUUUAUGAAAUCGGAGAUAUGAGUCUAGGCCCCAGGUACUAUGAACUGGGAUGGAAGAAACAGAACCUGUCACACGGUUUACCAGGAUCUCUGUGGUUAUGCUACACAAACAGUGUCCUUGUGGACUUGGACUGUUGCCGUUCAAAGGGCUACUACAAAUUAUGUGGUGAAAUGAACAAGUGAAGUUUCCCAUUGAGCUCACUUUCUCCUUAAAGGUCCUUCUCCUGCCUUUGAUCUUCCAAGCCAUCCUGUGCAGCCCGGAUCCUGGGGGAAGAUGCUUUGCCAGUACUCAAUAAGCAAAAGUUCCUCUUUUGGUACAAGAGCUCAGGAAUUGAGGAAAUCCUUGUACUUCACUCCAGACUAUGGUAGAAAUGUUGAUGGUAAGUUUAAGGCUUGGGUUGAAAUACUCUUGCCAGAGUCCUGAACACUCCAGGGAGCCAUGAGUUCUGACUGCUGAAGUUUAAAGGGACUUCAUACCUCAUGUAUGACAUUCACCUAACUUUAUAAAUGUAUAGUGAGGGAUAUUGACUAGUUAUAUCUAAGCCCUUGGGAAGGAGAGCAAAGAUUGAUUAAGCCUAGGCAAAGUUUUUGACAAAGCACAUCCUGAAAAUAGCAAGGUUCCAGAAAUAUCUUAUCUAUUGGUUUUGAAGUAUAACAUGUAAAUGAAAUGUGACCAGUGGAUAGUAACUUGUGUGUGUGAAAGGAAUGCUAUAAAGGGAUGAUAAAUGGAAUGUUGCACAGCACAGCCCUGUAAGCAGAAGGAGGAUUUGAAUUCAAUCCUCAUGGAUAACCCACUCUCGAAGAAGAUGACUCUCGGUGUCAAUCUCUGAAACUACCAAGUGCAUUCUUCAGGUGCUAUGAGCAGCAGAGAUAACUCUGUGAAGAUGUCAGACUGGGAUCACAGGUACAGAUAUCUUUAUAAAACUAACCGUAACACUUGGAUGCAAGAAAGAAAAAUCUGUGGUACACAAAAAGCCACACAGGUCAGAAUUCCCUGUUGAGACUCUGAAGGAAAUGAGGGAACAAUCGGUCAUUCGUUGGCAGCAUGCCCAGAAAGUCAAGGCCUGCGCAGGACAGGACCUGGAGAUGCUGUUAGUUACAGUUAGUCAGGGAGAAGAGGCUCAACAUGAUCACAGAGGGAGAGAACUCGCAGGAUCCAGUUCAGAGAAAGACCUGCUGCUUUCUUUGGUAAAGAAAGAACCUCACCUUCCACCGAAGUGCCAGAGAACUGAGCCAAGGCUGAGCAAAGCAGUCUUGGUCCUGAUGUCUACACAACAGCUUGUAUUCAACAAAGGCAAUCAGAAUGACUAUUAGGAAGAUGUGCUAAAAGGGGAGAGAGGGGCUUGCAUAAAUUGAACAUACCUUCAUUGUUUCAGUUGAAUAAGUAAUAGCAGGGGCAUCUAUUACCAACAAUCUCUGUGAUUGUAUCCAAAGAAGCACUGAGAUCCUAUCCCUAGAGUGCCUUCAAUCAUUGGAAAGGAAUGCACUAUUAGAUAGACUUUCUGCCCAGAGAAUAGCAAUAGAAGAUAUCUUCUGUACACCAACCACAUGGCUCAAAGAAGUUGCAAGCUCCUUCCAGGUAGCAUUUUGUCCCUAGGAGUGUUGUCUCUAUACUCCAAUAAUGCAUAUGUUAAUAACAGAAGUUUAACAUAUUUGUCAGAUGCCAAAUAUGGAAGUACACAGAAAUGAGUUUCCACUUCAACACCUCUUUGGAACAGACCCAAUGCUCAUACUAUUUGUGUCUGGACAUGCAGAACUAGCCUAUGAACUGAUACACUUGGUCCCAAGAAUCAUUAUUUGGCACUGAUAUUAUAUAUUAUAAUGACCAAACAAUGGAACUCGCUGAUAGGAUAAAAGAGCAAAGAAAAAUCCUCACAGGAAAGUGAACCAUAGCUCUUGUUAGUUUUCUUUCUCUUCACUCUACUUUAGAUAUGUCAUACAGACAGGAGGAAAUACAACAGCUCUGAGACGGCCACUCUCUGUAUUACCUCUUAGACAUGUGACUAUAUUUAGAUAUUGAGCCCUGUCAAUAAUUAAAGCAGCAGUGCUUGUCCAAGUAAGAACCAGAGUAUCCACUGAUAUUUUAUUGCAUGAUUCAGUUGAUUUAAUAAUAGAAGACAAAUUAUAGCUCCUUAAUUGACCUAAGUUUACUUUUUAAAGGAAGUAAUUAAAUCUCAAAAAUCCCUAGGCUUUUCUCUAGACAGUUCUCCAAGUUUGUGUUUAACUUUCUAAGACCAUACAGUAGGGACUCAAGAUUUAAUUUCAAAAUAGCUGAAUACAUAUGAGGGGAGAUAAUAGCUGAAUACAUGUGAGGGGAGAUAAUUGGGGGUAUAGUUUUCUCUCUCCUGGGGAGACUUUUGACAAUGGCUGAUUUUACAUUGAAAGGAGAUUUCUGUUCAUUUAUUUAUUUCCUUCUGCAAUGCAGUAACCAGAAUCUAGGGCCCUUCACAUACAGGCUAAGUGCUCUACUUGAUUGAGCUACAUCUUCAGCCCUAAUUUUUGCUAUUGUAUUUCAAAUAUAAUGCAUGCUGUUCAGCAUAAGGAAAAAAGACCAUUUACAAAGCAGGCUAAAUGUGCUUUGGAAAGUGACUUGUUUGUAAAUGAAAAUAUCAGUGUUUGGGGAGGUGGUUACUGGAUAUGCCUUAGGAACAUAAAGAUCAGAGUUUGUGUCACAACAAUCAAUAAAAUUUGGGCCUAGUACCACAUCUGUAAUUCUAAUACUCCCAUCAAGAGAUUAAAAAAGGAGGCAUGUUCUCAGUGUGGAACAGUAAAGAAUUCCCACUUUACACAACAUAAUAGGAUUGUCAACCAAGGUUGUCCUCUGACCUUCACAAACACACACCAUGGCAUGUUCACACACACAUACAUACAAAUACAUUAAAAAAUAUCAAUAACGACAAGAAAAACACCUCUUCGGAAGCACUGAAGCUAGCUAUUGUUCCUGGUUUGCUAAACUGACUGGAAGGAAUCUUAAAGAUCUUCAGGUCAAUUGCUUAUCUGAAGACCAGCUUUGGAAGUUUCAACGAGGAAAUAACUGAGAAAUUACCAUUCUUCCAUGGAAUCUGGAAAAGUACUCUUGUUGCUGUUCUCCUUCUUUGGGAUUCUCUAGGAGUCCUACUCUCACUCCCACACAAUUAUUGCAAAAGCCAAAGCCUUGAACCACCCUUACUUAGAUCAUUCCUUCCUUGCAUACUCACAGUUUUCGUUAGGAAACCCAUUAGCUCUAUCUACAAAACAAACCUCAAGGAGGACCACAUUUUCCUUGUCCAAAUCCAAAUGACAAUUCCUCUAGACUGGAUUACAGAUGUCUGGCAUAUAGCAGAUGUUAAAUAUUGGCUGUCUGUAGAACAAGUGGAAUCCUAAUUGGUCCCAUUUGCCAGUCCCAUUCUAUAUACCCUGCCCCCACCUUCAGUCUUCUUUCUGUAAACAGUCUCAUGUAGUGCCAAUAUAUAGCAGGGAAUUGAUAUUUUUUCUCUAAAGUAUUUUCAAUACACUCUCAUCAAAUUUGGAGUAAGAUAUCAAAUCUAAUCCUCUUGCCCAUGAAACUCUCCAUCUUUUGUGUUCUUCCCCAAGCAUUUCAAACCUUCUGCCUGAACACAAACUCUCUCUUCUCUACUCAGAACAUCAUUUUUUUUUCUGUUAUAGUCUGAACUAUCUGACUCCCAAAGAUCCAUGUGUUAAAACUUUGGUUGCUAGGGUGAUACUAUUGUGCUGUGGACUGUUAGAAGGUGGGAUCUUGUAGAAUGUCCUUAUAUCAUUGUGACCUUGAUCCUGAAUAGAUACUUUGAUUCAUUACCAUGAUUUUAGCAGUUUUCCCACCACACGUGCACCCUGCCUUUGACAUCUUGCUCCCCAAUCAGAUGUGUUGAGUCUCCGUGAUCUUGAACUGGGAAUUUCAAAAUUAUGCAAUGGUUGAUUGGCACUUGCAAUGCUAGCAGAGGCUUAGAGAACUCCUUCACAUAUGUGUGCAAUGCUGGACACCUGGACGAAGGCCAAAUGCUGCUUCAACAUCUUGGCAAUGGCCUUCUGAAGAUGAUGCAGAUCCUAACUGGAAACACUUCCACCAUGCCUUUUAGAAUAUUUCUUCCACAGACCACCCUCUAAGAGAUGUCAACUUUAGGGUGGCUGACCCCACUCUGCCUGGAAUUGGCAGUGUUUGUACCAGGUUUAUGGAGCAGACAAAUGGUCCCUUUACAAACCACCCUGACAGCAUUGUAGUAUGCUUGGACAGCACACAGUAGGUGAAGAAGACAAAACUGCCUAAUGUGCACCUGUGGGCCAAACCAUCACUGGGAACAUGAGCCCUCCCUUGCCUGACUGCAGGUCAAGAAAGAAGGUACAGAGUAAGACAGAUGUAUCAACAAUGAGACCAACUCUACCAAGAGGAGAAAAGCGAAAGAGGAUGGGAGGAAGACAGAUGCAAAGAGUUCCCUGUGUAGCCCACCCAUAUCCUAAUAACAAGUUCUUGGAGGUUUCCUAUCUAACAUUCACACACCCAUUCCAUCCCAGUCCUGGAAAGAAAGCCUAGGACCACAUAUCCUAUAUCAUCAGACAUAUGGAAACUUCCAUCGGUACUUUCACAGCAUUUGCCGAGGGCCAGGCUGGUGUUGCGUGUCUGCAAUUCCAACACUGGAGAGGCUGAUGCAGGAUGAUCCUGAGUUCAAAGCCUGCCACACCAGAAAAAGAAAAUACAGCGGGAAUGGGUGAGUCGAAGCUCAUCACUGCGCUCCUCUUGGUGCACAGGGCCUGGGAAGCAGUCAGACAUAUGGAGUCCAAAUAGGAUCUAGACAAUGACCAGAGGAACCCAGGAGCUAACGUGUAUCGUGUAUCAGGAGGCACUGCAACUGAAUAUAAACGCUCCCUGUAUUAAAGGCAGCUCUGUAUUUUCAGUUCGCUGCUUAUUUUCAGCUUGCAUGCUGUUGUUUUCAGUGUCAAAUUUAUGAACAAUGUUUACACGAUAUUGAGAACUCUUAGGCAGUGGGUGACAAUUUAGGAAUCUUCCAUGUGCUCACAAGCUGCCUGCUUCUUCCCACCAAGGGCCCAGGCUGACUCAAUAACCUCAUCUAUUUUCAAAGUUCCAACCCAUGGCUCAAAAUAUAAAUUACUUCUCCUUAGUAAAGUCAGCUUGGGCUGUUCUUUUUUUUUUUCCCCAAGCCCUGUCGUGGUCAAAAGAAAGGCCUAGAUCUCAGAUCGAACUUCAGAAUGAUACUAUGCCUCUUAAUCUAAGGAAAUAUUUCAGGAGGGAAAAUGGCCUUCAAGAGAACACUUGGUCUGACAGACUGCAGCAUAUCAGCUCCUAUAACAGAAGCAAGCAUUGUAUCUGCAGCAGCCGGCAUGGUGUUUGGGACAGUACCCAAAACUGAUUUAUUCAAUUAACGACUAUGAAUAUCGAGGUUGAGAAUAGCGCUAUCACACUUUUUGACGACUUUAACAUCUUGCUGCGGAUAUGAAACUAGACAUCCAUAGAGCAUUGGAUCGAAAAGGUCAGAGCACAUCAUUUAAUUAAUGGCUUUCUAUAAAGUCUUCUGCUAUAAAAGUAUCUAUGGAAAUCAAUGACUUGGCCAAAGUAGGCAGGCUGUUCUGUUUAUUAGCUAAUGGUCCGUUUGCUUUGUUUAUAUAUGGCUACAAAGUAUCAUAGAUCCAACAGAAAUGAAUGACACUGAAUAAUGAUCAGAAUUUGGCAAGGAAAGACUUACAUUUCUGUAAAGUACUGACCACUAUACAGUAUGGAGAACAAACUCGGUAAGAACUACUUAAAGCAGCACUUUCUAAAACAUAAGGACAAAGAUUUUGAAAUGGAUUCAAGCUGCUAGCCCUUUUCUCCGAAGGUUCUAUUGGGAACUACCCUAGUUCGGUUUCUGUUGAGUUGACAAAACCACAGCAAGUUGGGGGUGGAAAGGGUUUUAUUAGAACUUCCAGGUUAUAAUCCAUUAUCAAGGGAAGCUGUGGCAGGAACUCCAGGCAGAAGCCUGGAGGCAAAAACGGAAAGGGAAGAGCAUGGAGGGACACUCUACCGCCAUUCUUUCCCAGCCUGGCUCAGGGGCCUUCCGUAUACAGCCCAGACCGACCUGCUCAGACAUGGCUCUGACAUAAUAGGCUGGACCUGCCCACAUCAACCAUUAAUCAAGAAAAUCCCUACAGACAUUCCCACAGCACAAUUUGAUGGAAGUGGAAGCAAUGUCUCAAUUUGGGGUGGGUCCCUCCUGUUCAGUGACUCUAAUUUGUGUCAACAUGACCAAAAUUAAGAAGCACAGGGACUAAUGCAUUCAAGGCCAAGAGCAGACCCUAGUGAGCUGAGGAGCUAAUUACCUUCCUUAGGACAAAUAGAAGUCAGUCAGACAUCCUAGGAUGGCCAAGAGAUUCUUUUGAUCAGCUAAGGAGUACCUGAGAGUCAAACAGAUUAACUUGGCAUUGUAAAGGGAUUUCUCAAAGCAACAACUGUGAGACUGUAUGCCUUUUAAGCCUAACUACUAAAACAUCCUACCCUGAAAAUAAAGAAAAAUAUAUAUGAAACAAAAGACCAAAUUAAAUAAACUCUUUGGGGAAAUCCUAAAUCAUUAUAAUAAUCACAUUACAAUAGGAACAAGAAUUUUAAUUAUUUUCCAGGAUAUAAUUCAGGAGCAAAAGUAUGUCUGAUAAAUUUACAAUAUUCUUAGGGAUGGCAAUUGUUUUAAUUGCUGGUCCCUAUUAAAUGUUAGUAAUAAGAAAGUGAACACAAUUGCUGGUAAGAUGUCAGGCAUUAAUUUAAAAAUAUAAAUGGUGGCCAAAGAAUACCAUAGAAUAUGACUCUAUAUCCAGACUCUCAACAACAGAUGAAAAAAAAAAACUCACCUUGAUAUAGAACAAGGACAUGAUUCUCAUAAUAGAAUUUAAGUCAGAGUGUUAUUUAAUUUUCUUCUACUAAAACAUAAAUUAUGUUUC